AAGGCUAUGUUGGCCGGGCGACGGUUGUCCCGGUUUAAGCGUGUAGGUGUGUGUUCCAGGUAAAUCCGGUUCACUUUAACACUGAGGCGUGAUGACGAGGCACUACGGUGCUGAAGCAACAAAUGCCCUGCUUCCAGGAAAAGCCUCUAAGCAUCAGGUAACAUCAAAUCGUACCCCAAACCGACACAGGUGGUCAGGUAGAGAAUACCAAGGCGCUUGAGAGAACUCGGGUGAAGGAACUAGGCAAAAUGGUGCCGUAACUUCGGGAGAAGGCACGCUGACAC
rnacentral:rRNA from 1 species